AGACGUCUACAUUAGAUACCCCUGUAGUCCCAGCCGUAAACUAUGCGCGUUAGGUGUAUCGGUGACCACGAGUUACCGAGGUGCCGAAGGGAAACCGUGAAACGUGCCGCCUGGGAAGUACGGUCGCAAGGCUGAAACUUAAAGGAAUUGGCGGGGGAGCACCACAACAGAUGGAGCCUGCGGUUUAAUUGGACUCAACGCCGGGAAGCUCACCGGAUAGGACAGCAGAAUGAUUGCCGGGCUGAAGACCCUGCAUGACUAGCUG
rnacentral:rRNA from 1 species